rnacentral:rRNA from 1 species
UAGUAUUCAAUUGUCAGAGGUGAAAUNCUUGGAUUUAUUGAAGACUAACUACUGCGAAAGCAUUUGCCAAGGAUGUUUUCAUUAAUCAAGAACGAAAGUUAGGGGAUCGAAGACGAUCAGAUACCGUCGUAGUCCUAACCAUAAACUAUGCCGACUAGGGAUCGGAUGAUGUUAAUUUUUUAACGACUCA